AUGGAGGACAGGGUGGAGCCGGGAGGGAGGGGCACUCGGCGCGGGAGUAAGGGGGGGAGGGGCGGAAAGGUGGAAGAGCUGGAGCGCAGGGUGAAGAAAGAACCGGGAAGGCGCGCACGGGAGAGCACGGCCUGGGGCGUGGCUUGGGCCGGGGGCGUGGCGCAGGACGCGGCGCGGGUACGUCUGGCCCCCCAGCUUCCGCUCAGCCCCCUUCUGGCGCUGGGGGCCGCCGGAGCCCGUUUCCUACGCGGGGCACGCGGCCGGAAGGCCGGGCCGCCUCCCCGUCUCGGGGCUCCUGCGGUGGAGUCCGCACCCCGAGGGUCGCUCGGGAGCGAGUGCACGCCCGUCUCUCGGGGCUGGCCGGGCCGGUUUGCAGGCAGGGACCAUCCACUUAACUGCCACACCAGGAAUCUCAAAUAUGCAGGGACAAGAGAAAUACUUGUUUCUCAUCAGGCCCUUGGACACCCUCUGGCUAUAUACUCAGGGUGUGGUGGGAAUGAGCAGAGAAGGGCUUUGGUGUCAAUGGAUAGUUUAGCCUGGAGUGUUCCACAGAAACACAAAAGCAGAAUCGCUGUGCAUAAUGACAACCUUUGGCUGGAUCAGAGUGGGACCCAGACUCCCCCAGCCUAUGAGGCCCGGAGAAGUGAGGCAUACGGGAAUGAGAAGAUUUCUGCCUCAUGUGUACUGAACAGACACAUUUUAAGGCCCAAGGUAACCUGCCUCUAUUGGAUCCAUUUUCUGACCUCUGGAAAAGGCCCAUUUGUGUCCCACGCCCAUCACAUGAGAUGA
ensembl:lncRNA